rnacentral:rRNA from 1 species
UGAUCCAGCCAUGCCGCGUGUGUGAAGAAGGCCUUCGGGUUGUAAAGCUGUUUCUGCCGGGACGAAAUCGCGCGGGUUAAUAUUUCGCGUGGGUGACGGUUCCGUAAGAAGAAGCACCGGCUAACUACGUGCCCGCAGCCGCGGUAAUACGUAAGGUGCUAGCGUUAAUCGUAAUUACUGGGCGUAAAGUGUGCGCAGGCGGCCGCCCAUGUCGAGUGUGAAAUCCCCGGGCUUAACUUGGGAAUUGCGCUCGAAACUACGGGGCUGGAGUGUGGCAGAGGAAGGUGGAAUUCCACGUGUAGCGGUGAAAUGCGUAGAGAUGUGGAGGAACACCGAUGGCGAAGGCCGCCUUCUGGGCCAACACUGACGCUCAUGCACGAAAGCGUGGGGAGCAAACAGGAUUACAUACCCUGGUAGUCCACGCCCUAAACGAUGAUGACUAGUUGUUGGAGGAGUUAAAUCCUUUAGUAACGCAGCUAACGCGUGAAGUCAUCCGCCUGGGGAGUACGGGUCACAAGAUUAAAACUUAAGGGAUUUUUGGGGGGGGGUUUUUUUGGGGGGUUUUUGGGGGUUCCUUGGGGGGAUUUGGAGGGAUCUUCGAAGGUUUUUUGGGGGUCUCUCGGUGUGUUUUCGCGGUUUUUUGAGGGCUUUUGGGGGUUAUUU